AUCAGCUUGAAGUUUUGUGAAUACACCAGUUCUCGUCCGAUCACUGAAGUUAAGCAAUGUCGAGCGUGGAUAGUACUUGGAUGGGUGACCGCUUGGGAACACCAUGUAACGUUGGCU
rnacentral:rRNA from 1 species